rnacentral:rRNA from 1 species
AGUGAACGCUGGCGGUAGGCCUAACACAUGCAAGUCGAACGGCAGCACAGUAAGAGCUUGCUCUUACGGGUGGCGAGUGGCGGACGGGGGAGGAAUACAUCGGAAUCUACUUUUUCGUGGGGGAGAACGUAGGGAAACUUACGCUAAUACCGCAUACGACCUACGGGUGAAAGCAGGGGAUCUUCGGCUCUUGCGCGAUUGAAUGAGCCGAUGUCGGAUUAGCGAGUUGGCGGGGUAAAGGCCCACCAAGGCGACGAUCCGUAGCUGGUCUGAGAGGAUAAUCAGCCACACUGGAACUGAGACACGGUCCAGACUCCUACGGGAGGCAGCAGUGGGGAAUAUUGGACAAUGGGCGCAAGCCUGAUCCAGCCAUACCGCGUGGGUGAAGAAGGCCUUCGGGUUGUAAAGCCCUUUUGUUGGGAAAGAAAAGCAGCAGGUUAAUACCCCGCUGUUCUGACGGUACCCAAAGAAUAAGCACCGGCUAACUUCGUG